rnacentral:rRNA from 1 species
GACGUAGGGGGCAAGCGUUGUUCGGAAUUAUUGGGCGUAAAGCGCUCGUAGGCGGGACAGGAAGUUCGUGUUGAAAGACCUCGGCUCAACUGAGGGACCGGCUCGAAUACUCUUGUUCUUGAGGCAAUCAGAGGGUGAUGGAAUUCCCGGUGUAGCGGUGAAAUGCGCAGAUAUCGGGAAGAACACCCGUGGCGAAGGCGGCACUCUGGGACGGUACUGACGCUGAGACGCGAAAGCGUGGGGAGCGAACAGG